rnacentral:lncRNA from 1 species
GAACAAUUUAUUUCAUUCGCAAUAAGACAUGCUACUCACUGUUGGAGUAAACAUUGUCGAAAUAUGAAUACAUUUACAGUGAAGAGAGCAUAAAAACAAAUUGGAGGAAUUCGCCUCGUUCAAUGUUGGAUUGAUAAACUCAUCAAAAGACAAUUUUAUGGAUUGAAGCAAAUGACCCGCAGCCUAUACAAUUUUUCAAUGAACUAAGCAAUUACAUUUACAUAGGCCGUCAUAUGUUGACAAGAACAAAACUAAUUAUCAUCUGUAACGCAAAAAUCGUGGAGAUCUGAAUCAUCAAAUGCUUUGGCAAGAACGAACUAAUUAUCAUCUAUAACCCAAAAAUCGUGGAGAUCCGAAUCAUCAAAUGCUUCGGCAAGAACAAACUAAUUAUCAUCUAUAACCCAAAAAUCAUGGAGAUCUGAAUCAUCAAAUUAAACUCAUUCAAUGCCAUUUCACAUUUACCAAGUGCGCUGGGGAGCUCUUCUCUCAUCUCAUGCACCUCUAACCAGUGUUCUGGCCUCUCAAAUAAAUGCAAGAGCUGCAAUAAAUAAAAGAGCAAAUAUAUGUAAACGACCUUCCUUGGGUCAUACCGGCUCAUUCACUGGUAACAUUUGUAACUAGGACACCUUGUGAUGCGAACUCCGUAGCAACGUUGACUACGAAACCCACAACGAGAUUGACGAACUCAAGAAAGCCAAAUUAAUUCAAGAGUUUAGGAUUAAUCCAAAAGAAAGUCGAACCAAAAAACCCAACAAGAACGACGCUUGAAAGACCCCUUGAUCACGCAA